UACGGAGGGUGCGAGCGUUGUCCGGAAUCACUGGGCGUAAAGGGCGCGUAGGCGGCGAGCCAAGCGUGGGGUGAAAGUCCGGGGCUCAACCCCGGAUCGGCCUCGCGAACUGGCUGGCUCGAGCACUGUAGAGGCGGGUGGAAUUCCGGGUGUAGCGGUGGAAUGCGUAGAGAUCCGGAAGAACACCGGUGGCGAAGGCGGCCCGCUGGGCAGUGGCUGACGCUGAGGCGCGACAGCGUGGGGGAGCAAACAG
rnacentral:rRNA from 1 species